CCAAGGAGUCUAACAUGUGCGCGAGUCAAUGGGAAUCACUCGAGACCCACAGGCGCAAUGAAAGUGAAGGUGGUUUGGCUUGUCCCCACCGAGGCGGGAUCCGUUUAACAAGUUUUUUCCCGUUCAAUUGUUUUUYCCCCUCYYNSGGGGGGUKGSMARSSGGGUUGGCUUGGCGGCGCACCGUCGGCCCGUCGCAAACGCAACGCCGUUGCGGCGGAGCAAGAGCGUACACGUUGGGACCCGAAAGAUGGUGAUCUAUGCCCGGGCAGGACGAAGCCAGAGGAAACUCUGGUGGAGGUCCGUAGCGAUUCUGACGUGCAAAUCGAUCGUCGGACCUGGGUAUAGGGGCGAAAGACUAAUCGAACCG
rnacentral:rRNA from 1 species